AAAUUGAAGAGUUUGAUCAUGGCUCAGAUUGAACGCUGGCGGCAGGCCUAACACAUGCAAGUCGAACGGUAACAGGAAGCAGCUUGCUGCUUCGCUGACGAGUGGCGGACGGGUGAGUAAUGUCUGGGAAACUGCCUGAUGGAGGGGGAUAACUACUGGAAACGGUAGCUAAUACCGCAUAAUGUCGCAAGACCAAAGAGGGGGACCUUCGGGCCUCUUGCCAUCGGAUGUGCCCAGAUGGGAUUAGCUUGUUGGUGGGGUAACGGCUCACCAAGGCGACGAUCCCUAGCUGGUCUGAGAGGAUGACCAGCCACACUGGAACUGAGACACGGUCCAGACUCCUACGGGAGGCAGCAGUGGGGAAUAUUGCACAAUGGGCGCAAGCCUGAUGCAGCCAUGCCGCGUGUAUGAAGAAGGCCUUCGGGUUGUAAAGUACUUUCAGCGGGGAGGAAGGGAGUAAAGUUAAUACCUUUGCUCAUUGACGUUACCCGCAGAAGAAGCACCGGCUAACUCCGUGCCAGCAGCCGCGGUAAUACGGAGGGUGCAAGCGUUAAUCGGAAUUACUGGGCGUAAAGCGCACGCAGGCGGUUUGUUAAGUCAGAUGUGAAAUCCCCGGGCUCAACCUGGGAACUGCAUCUGAUACUGGCAAGCUUGAGUCUCGUAGAGGGGGGUAGAAUUCCAGGUGUAGCGGUGAAAUGCGUAGAGAUCUGGAGGAAUACCGGUGGCGAAGGCGGCCCCCUGGACGAAGACUGACGCUCAGGUGCGAAAGCGUGGGGAGCAAACAGGAUUAGAUACCCUGGUAGUCCACGCCGUAAACGAUGUCGACUUGGAGGUUGUGCCCUUGAGGCGUGGCUUCCGGAGCUAACGCGUUAAGUCGACCGCCUGGGGAGUACGGCCGCAAGGUUAAAACUCAAAUGAAUUGACGGGGGCCCGCACAAGCGGUGGAGCAUGUGGUUUAAUUCGAUGCAACGCGAAGAACCUUACCUGGUCUUGACAUCCACGGAAGUUUUCAGAGAUGAGAAUGUGCCUUCGGGAACCGUGAGACAGGUGCUGCAUGGCUGUCGUCAGCUCGUGUUGUGAAAUGUUGGGUUAAGUCCCGCAACGAGCGCAACCCUUAUCCUUUGUUGCCAGCGGUCCGGCCGGGAACUUAAAGGAGACUGCCAGUGAUAAACUGGAGGAAGGUGGGGAUGACGUCAAGUCAUCAUGGCCCUUACGACCAGGGCUACACACGUGCUACAAUGGCGCAUACAAAGAGAAGCGACCUCGCGAGAGCAAGCGGACCUCAUAAAGUGCGUCGUAGUCCGGAUUGGAGUCUGCAACUCGACUCCAUGAAGUCGGAAUCGCUAGUAAUCGUGGAUCAGAAUGCCACGGUGAAUACGUUCCCGGGCCUUGUACACACCGCCCGUCACACCAUGGGAGUGGGUUGCAAAAGAAGUAGGUAGCUUAACCUUCGGGAGGGCGCUUACCACUUUGUGAUUCAUGACUGGGGUGAAGUCGUAACAAGGUAACCGUAGGGGAACCUGCGGUUGGAUCACCUCCUUACCUUAAAGAAGC
rnacentral:rRNA from 1 species